rnacentral:rRNA from 1 species
GAUGAACGCUGGCGGCGUGCCUAAUACAUGCAAGUCGAGCGAACAGACGAGGAGCUUGCUCCUUUGACGUUAGCGGCGGACGGGUGAGUAACACGUAGUCAACCUACCUAUAAGACUGGGAUAACUUCGGGAAACCGGAGCUAAUACCGGAUAAUAUUUCGAACCGCAUGGUUCGAUAGUGAAAUAUGGCUUUUCUAUCACUUAUAGAUUGACCUGCGCCGGAUUAGCUAGUUGGUAAGGUAACGGCUUACCAAGGCAACGAUACGUAGCCGACCUGAGAGCGUGGUCGGACAGACGGGAAGUGAGACAGGGUCGAGACACCUACAGUAGGCCGCAGUAGGGAAUCUUACGCGAUGGGGGAGAGGCUGACAGUGCACAACGGCGUGAGGGAUGAAGGAGUUCGGAUCGGAGAGUUAUGUUAUUAGGAGGGAACAAAAGUGUAAGUAACUGUGAACAUAUUGACAGUACCGGGACAAAAAGCCACGGCUAACUACGUG